rnacentral:pre_miRNA from 1 species
AGCCUUCUGAAUCUGUGCCGAGAUUUUGUCAGGCACUGAACCAUCAGGACUGAUGAGGCUCUCCAGAUAAUUAAAACA